AUGGUCAAGACAGUGUCCUUGUUUGGAUUUCCCACUGUGGAGUCUCCAGAAGCAGUGACAAAAUUUCUAGAGGAGUAUGCUGGAGAAGGAACUGUUCAGUCUGUGAAUGUUCUUCCUCCAAAACGUAGAGGAUCAAGAUCAUCUGUCAUAGUUCAAUUCACAACUGAAGAAUGUGCUGAAAUAAUACUAAAUUUUAUUUCAGUCUUACUUUUCUUGUUGUUGAGUCCGUUCAAUUCUUCCAUAUCUCCAGCCGGUCUAGUACUUGAAGACAAUUGCCAUUAUCAACUAGUCACCAUGGUCAAGACAGUGUACUUGUUUGGAUUUCCCCCUGUGGAGUCUCCAGAAGCAGUGACAAAAUUUCUGGAGGAGUAUACUGGAGAAGGAACUGUUCUAUCUGUGAAUGUUCUUCCUCCAAAACGUAGAGGAUCAAGAUCAUCUGCCAAAGUUCAAUUCAUAACUGCAGAAUGUGCUGAAAUAAUACUUGCAUUAGCCGAUGAUCAAAGACUGUGGUAUGGAGAGUCUUAUCUGAAAGCUCGCGAAUGUAAGGGUGACAUAGCACCAAGAUCAACAGUCUUGGAGGAACUUGUGACACUUCACUUUGGAUGCAAGAUAUCUGAGGAGAAGUUUUCGGUGCUUUGGACAAAAUCAGACGUUUCUGUGACAUUUGGAAAAGACCUGAAUUAUGUGCACUUAGCUUUCUCCUAUGAUUGUGUUGAAUACAAGCUUGAGCUCCCAUCUGACACUAUUUGCCAGAUUGAGCUGCAUUGUCCAUGUGAUCAGUUUAGAAAGUUUCUUCUCAUCCAGUUACGUGGUGCCCCUUGGAUUUAUAAGAAAGAUGUAACUGUGCAAAAUCACGGUGUUCGAGAAGUUGAUUUUACUCCAUCAUGCUGCAUUGGGCAAUCCUCUUCUCUGUGCUUGGAACUUCCAUUUGAGUGUUCGCUUCCUGAUCUAAACAAGAGUUGUGUGCAGUAUAUAGAGAAUGAGGGACAGUUUGGCCUGAAGGAAGGUAACACUUUCUCUGGAAGUUCAGCUCUUGGUCCUAUUCUGGCUCCACCCCUCGGCAUUAACUUUCCAUACAAAAUCCUGUUCAAGAUAAAUUCAUUGGUUCAGCAUGGUUGUAUUCCGGGGCAAGCUCUUGAUAUCAAUUUUUAUCACCUAGUAGAUCCUACUGUUGAAAUUGAAUAUAUAGAGUGUGCCCUCGACAAGCUGUUCAGCUCCAUGGAGUGCUGCUAUGAACCUGCAAGGUGGCUUCUUAAGCAGUACAUCAAGCAGCACAAGAUGCACAAGGCAUGCAAGCGGAUUCCUCAGUCACCAUCUAUUUCUUUGGAUGAAGGCUUUGUCUAUGUACGCAGGGUUCUGAUUACACCAACUAAAGUAUACUUCUGUGGUCCAGAGGUAAAUCUCUCCAAUGGUGUCUUAAGAAACUAUCCUGAAGAUAUUGACAAUUUUCUUCGAAUUUCUUUCGUUGAUGAGGACUUGGGGAAGAUGAGGUCUGUAGAUUUGUGUCCGCGGACACGCUGUGAAGAAGAGGAAAGAAGAACUAGAGUUUACGAAAGGAUACUUUCUGUUCUAAGAGAUAGGAUAGUGAUUGGUGAGAAGAAGUUUGAGCUUCUGGCAUUUUCGGGUAGUCAGUUGCGAGAGAAUUCUGCAUGGAUGUUUGCUUCCAGAAGGGGCCUUACUGCACAAGGGAUAAGAGACUGGAUGGGAGAUUUUAGUCACAUAAAAAAUGUGUCUAAAUAUGGUGCCAGGCUUGGUCAGUCUUUCAGCUCAUCCAGGGAGACUUUUAGUGUUGGAUCGGAUGAAAUUGAAGUCAUUCCUGAUGUGGAAAUUGAAAGAGGCGGAACAAAAUAUUGCUUCUCUGAUGGAAUUGGGAAGAUAUCCGCUGAUUUUGCUGAAAGAGUGGCAAGAAAAUGUGGGAAAAGUUCUACUCCAUCCGCCUUUCAAAUCCUCUAUGGUGGCUACAAAGGUGUUGUGGCAGUUGAUCCAACAUUGUCAAAGAAGCUGGCAUUGAGAAAGAGCAUGUGCAAGUUCAAAUCACUCAACACAAAGCCUUGUUUCCUGAAUCGUGAACUGAUUACACUUUUGUCCACCCUUGGAGUUAGGGAUCGUGUUUUUGAGAAGAAGCAGAAGCAAGCAAUGAAUCAGUUGGAAGGGAUUCUAACUGAUCCCCUGAAAGCACAGGAGGCACUGGGAUUGAUGUUUCAAGGAGAGGCCACCGGCAUGUUAAAGGAAAUGCUGAACUGUUACAAGCCAAAUGCAGAGCCGUUUCUCUCAUUGAUGCUGCAGUCAUUAUGUGCAUCAAAACUUGCCGAACUUCGGACCAAAUCACGGAUUUUUGUUCAAAAAGGAAGAUCUCUGAUGGGAUGUCUGGAUGAAACUGGGACAUUGGAAUAUGGUCAGGUAUUUGUGCAAUGUUCUCACCACACUAUCUUCACUGGCAACACAACCUCAACUGCAAGCCAAGGCAAUUUUACUGUUGAGGGUAAAGUAGUUGUUGCUAAAAACCCCUGUCUACACCCUGGAGAUGUGCGUGUUCUUAUGGCUGUGGACGUGCCGGCGCUACACCACAUGCUGGAUUGUGUUGUGUUCCCACAAAAAGGAAAGAGGCCUCAUCCUAAUGAAUGCUCAGGCAGUGAUUUAGAUGGAGAUGAUUACUUUGUUAGCUGGGAUCAUGAACUGAUUCCUCCUAGGCAAACUAAUCCGAAGAACUAUACUCCAGCACCAACUGUGGAAUUGGAUCACGAUGUUACGAUUGAGGAAGUCGCGGAGUCUUUUACCAACUACAUUGUAAAUGACAGCUUGGGCAUCAUUGCAAAAGCACAUCUUGUCACUUCAGAUAUUGAACCACAGAAGGCUAUGAGCUAUAAAAGUGUUGAGCUCGCCGAGCUCCACUCUCAUGCUGUUGACUCUCCUAAAACUGGUGCUAGUGAAACUGCCGCAUCUGCGCGUAAAAGCUUACCCAGAUUUCAUGGAAAAGACUGACGCAUCCACCUACGAGACGGGUGAAAGAUAUUGCGCUAGGAUCACAACACUAUUUUAAGUCCUUCACCAGGGAAGUGGCUAGGUGGUUUUAUGAUCCUGACAUGGAGGUAGAUGGAUUUGAAGAUUACAUCCAAGAUGCCAUCAGAUACAAAGGUGAGUAUGACUACAAGCUGGGAAAGCUGAUGGACUAUUAUGGUAUUCCCAGUGAAGCUGAAAUACUGUGUGGAUACAUCACCAAUGUAUCAAGUUCUUCAGAAAGAGAAAGGACCCGGAGUCGAUUAACUACGCUGUGAAGUCACUGAAGAACGAAGCAAGGACAUGGUUUAUGGAGAAGCCAACUAGUGAUGAUCCAACUGACAUCAGUAUGUAUGAAGCAAAAGCAUCAGCAUGGUACCAUGGCACAUAUCAUCAUCGUUACUGGGGUUCCUACAACAAGGGUAUGGCAAGAGACCAUUUCCUGAGUUUUCCAUGGUGUAUUUUCGACAUUCUCAUCCAAAUCAAGAGGCAUCACUAA